UCUCUUCUCUACCCAUACGCACGUUGUAAUAAUAUGAGUCGUCGUUCGGUUCGUUUCGGUUUGGUUUCUACCUCCUCUCUCUUCCAUACAUCCCAUUCGUCCAAUCGUCGAUCCCUGUAUCCCCACAGCAUAGAGAAUAGGAGGAAGGAUGAAACAACGACCGCGACGCGUCGCGUCGCUUCGACACAGACGGGCUGGCGUUAAAACUGCGGAGACAAAAAUCCACAUGGGGAAGAAAAUGACGCAAAAAAAAAAAAACUUUGCAAAAGCUUGGUUCCUAAUGAAUUUCGCAAUUACGCAUCCGUUGUAAAGAAAAUGAUGUUCCAAUAGAUCCCGCAAAGGUGAUGCAUUACCUACCCGAGGAGGAUUGCAACAGCGUUGUAACGGAAAAUGAAUUGAGCGACAAGUGCGUGAAAGUCCUCCGUCGUCGCGGUAUGAUGGCGGAUAUAUAGGUGAGUACAAAAUGGUGAGAGGUUAGUACAUAAAGAGGAGGAGGAGGUUGAGGAGAGAUAUGUAUAAGGGAGAAGUCGUUGUCGUCGUUGUGGGUGAAGGGGGAGAAUUGUGAGAGAGGGAAAGAGGAUCGGAAUAAAAAAAGAGCACAGGGAAAAGGAGAGAGGGGAGAAAAGGAGUUGGUCACCGCCUUCCGCGAGACGGUCGCGAGAGUUGCACCAGACAAUGACGACGCCCGCUCCUUCUAUCCUACUACGUCAUGUCUGCACGCAGUCGGAAUUAACCCCUCAUCCAGAGAAGGGAGGAACCUCCCCGCGCAACAUCCGAUUCUGAAUCUCCGUCAUUUACGAAUUGCGACUUCCCCGAAAAUAUAUGUGUGAAAAUAACCGUAGGGAUACCAGCGAUCCGAUACCCGAACGUUGACGGAAACGUGUAGGUAUUCGGCGACGACUCUUGUCUUUCCAACUGAUCAGAUAAAUAAUGAAUAAAUGACGGGAAUCGGUAAUCGUUGGAACGAUUGGAAAAAAAUUCAUCAUCGUUAUAAUUAUGAUAACUAUAAAAAUUUCGGUUGAAAAUAAUAUUUCCGUUCGUAUAUGUAAUAUAUUAACGAUUCAAUCGAACAGAUAAGAGAGUGGUCAUUAAGAAAUGAUGGGCGAAUAACUUAUCGCGUCUCAACCUUGCCCAACCUAACGUAAUCUAACAUCAAGAGAAACACCUGUUCGAACUCUACGCGCGAGUAAACUCCAUUAUAAAUGUAUAGUGGGUAGUCGAAACUUGUAUUUUCCCUCUUUCAAAUCCUACACACGAUAAACAUCACAAUAUAUAAUAACAAAUCACUUCGGAGAGCAAGAUAUGUAAAAACCAGUUAAUUUGGAUGGUCAAAAAGAGAGAAAAAAGUCUCGGGUACCUUCGAAGUACGUCAUGUAUAAUGUAUACCAGAAUUCAUGAUCACGAACUUGCAAUUACUCGUGACCCACACCUUUCGCCGUAGAUGGAGGGAAAUUUAAAGCACAAAUCUCGAACGAAUUGCUACAAUUUUCACGACUCCAUACAAUCUGAAAAAAUGCACAAAUCUCGAGGUGUGAGAAUGCGAAGAGUGAUCGAAAAAGUAACUAAAUGAAUAAGGAAGAAAAACAGGUGACGGGUUAAAUCGUCGGGGAAGUGAGAAGGUCCUGAGUUCGGGGGUUUUUGGUAUAGUUAGCAGAGGUAGGGUGGCAUCUUGACUCCUAGUGUGGAGUGUGGCAAGCAAUGGCCGGCCCCGAUCGAUGUCUCGCCAACUUCCCCACACCCUUAUACUAAGCUGCUUCUGCUUUCUGCUCGCUAGCAAUCUAACUGCUGCUAUUGGUGCUGCCGCAGGGGUGUUAGCAAGUAGUAAAGGAGACAGAAAUACAAGAGAUUCUAUAGCACUGUGCAGGUGCAUACCAUUACACAAGAGAAAAAAAAAAAAAAAAAAAAAACCAAGAAAAAAGCCCAAGAAAAGGGAUGGAGUAUAGCGAGUCGUCGCGAUAAAGGGGAUGAAAAGAGAAGGAAAAGUUGUGGGCAACAUCGCUCACUUUCAGUUUCCGUUGAAACAAGAAGUCGAUUUAUAAUGGCGACCUAUACGCAAUCCCCGUGCAACCCCCGUACGCAACGCAAUCUGCGUGCUGCAUACACGUAACAACGAUUCUCAUGAAAGAGAAUGAAUGAAUAAAAAUCAAAAAAAAAAUAAAAUAAACUGUUUUCAAACAUAUCUAUAAUAUGUACAUCAGCGUUCUAGAGAAUGAAAGUUCUCUCGUCUUAUUUGUUAUAUACCUACAUAUGUACCACGUAUGCCGCGUGCCAAAGCAGCGUUUCAACGCCAAGAGCAUGUAUAUAGGGGUAGGUAUGUAACAAGUUUGAAACGAAGUUUUCGUAACCAAAAACUUUCGCCAUUCGACAAGAGAAAAAAACUAAAACAAAAAUGGAAUAAGGAGAAAAAUGUAUAAAUAAAAACAAGAGUGAAAUUUUGUCCCUUCGUGUCCUUAGAGACAAGUUCAUUAAAUAGCAUUUUUGGUAAGGCUGUAUUAAUUGUCGGUAAGAAAAACUGCGCUCUUAUCGUUUUUCUUGAUUCCGUAAUGUCAUAAAGGAUUCACGUGACUCAAAUCAGUAUGUAAAACCUAUAAGUCGUUUACAUAAAUCUUCAAUGAUUGUUACGUCGUGUUGUGUUGCGUUGAAUUUAUAUGCGUAUCUAUACCGUACGUUUAUGUAUCCUAGGCCAACGUAGCACGCCUCACGCUGCUGUACCAGAGGGAGUGUUACGAAAUUGACGUUUAAAAGGGGUUGAACACAAAAGCAGAACGAGCAAAGAGUAGUUAGUACAGUUAGUAGUAGUAGUAGUAUAGUCGUAGUAAUAGUACCAGUAGAAGUGGAUGGAGUAUAGUACAAAUAUAGAAGUAGGAAGAAUAUGUACUGUAUACCUUAAUUCCAAGUUACACUCACCUAAUAUUACAAUUCGCAAACCCUUGUAAUCUAAUCCUUUUACCUUUCCCUCCCCCCCUUCCCUUUUAUUCUUGUCACUCAAAACUUUACCUAAAUCUAUGCGAAUAGUUGUUACGGUGGCAAUGAUAAAAAAAAAAAAAGUUUUUCGGAAACUAAAUUUUGAAAAUAAAUAUGAAGAAAAGGUGAUGCAAGGAGCAAUUGAAAAAAAAAAAUUUCCUCGUUCGUACGUUGAAUAAAUACGAGUUCAUUGCAAUUUCUAGCGUGAAGUUUCAAUUGAAAUUUUUGAAUUCGGAACUCGACUCGGAAGGAACGGUAUACAUAAAGCGAAAGUUAUACACGUAGGUGUGUACAGCGUGUAGAGACAUAUGAAUAAAUCCAUACACAUACAUAGUAUCUAUAGAAUAAAAUUUUUGUUGUCGCGGAAGGCAUUGAAUUCAUUCGCUGAUAUUCGCGUGACCUUAAUCCUUUCGAUCGUAAUCGACUGACUACGUGGUGGUUUUUCGAUGCCACCGGCUGCUCGCGUCGUGUUUCGCAUAUAAGGUACAUAAGUUCAUGUAUAUUUACUUGCACGCGUACAUACGUAUGUAUAAACUACAUUACAACAUGUAUGUAAGCUCGUGGUGUAAAUUACACGUCGCAAUGAAACGUCGCAAUUUUUAUGUUCAAACAAGACUUUUUUUCAUUUAUUUCUUUUUAUUUGAUGUAUCUAAUGUCACAUAUGGGAAUAUCGGUAUUGUGAUAUUACGACACAUGUAUAAUUAUUUCAAGAUAAUUAUUCUUUGUGCCUAUAUUAUAUCGUGAGAAGUGAGGAGAGAGUAUUGAAAAUUGAAUAAAUUAAUAAAUCGAGAAAUUUUCUAGUGCUAACGAAAAUCGAAAAAAGACAAUUAUUACUUGAGAAGAACGUCGUUAAGUCGCGUUACUUUUUGAGAAUAUGGGUCAUCAACUUCACUGUGUAAACGUAUUUACAUACGUGUGAAUAAUUGCUGGUGCCGCUGCUGCCACUUUUUUUUUCUCUUUCCUUUUUCUUCUCUCUUCUCUUCGCUAAAUUACGCAACGAAUGUACGCCA